UCUUCAUUUCGCACACUCUCUCGCCGGUCAGAGUGAUGAGCGAGUGUGUGUGAAAUGAAGAGA
rfam:Pristionchus pacificus strain PS312 contig12903, whole genome shotgun sequence.